rnacentral:misc_RNA from 1 species
AACCUAGCACACCUGCGGUGUGUACCUGCGGAGGGAUCAUUACCGAGUUUACAACUCCCAAACCCCUGUGAACAUACCUAUACGUUGCCUCGGCGGAUCAGCCCGCGCCCCGUAAAACGGGACGGCCCGCCCGAGGACCCUAAACUCUGUUUUUAGUGGAACUUCUGAGUAAAACAAACAAAUAAAUCAAAACUUUCAACAACGGAUCU